UGCACGAUUCACUGCUCGUGGGCUAUUACACCAGGUCCACUCCGCUUGACAGUGCAAACAAAGCGGGAUCGGAAUAGCAAAAAUGAGAAGCUUUCCCCGGGAUUAAACCCCCGUCCUUUUAACAUGUUCCAUAUCGUCGGUCGUCGUUAGUGGGUGUCAGUCACUUUGGUUACGUGCAGAACACACUGUUCUGCUGUGUCAAACGCGGCGAAGCAAUGACAGGGAAAUACGAGGCUGUAACACAAGACUUCUUUCGCUUCUCUACAGUACUCUACAUGCGCUACAAGUCCAACAAAGUAAAAUGACGUCCUUUUACGUAUGGGAGACCUGAAAACAACAACGGACAAAUUUGUUACAUAGAGUGACCAGGAUGAAGAGAGAACUGAUUAAAUAGAAAUGCAGUGACUUGCACUGAUGCAGGUGUCCACCAGAUGCUGCAUGCAGACAGAGAGGCAAGCGAAGCCGGCAGAGAGGCAAGCAGACUGCACUGUCUCAGGUCUUGCCAGGAACGGCAUUGGAUGGAGAUGUAACAUCCACUUCUAAUCAAGAUCCUGUGGGCAGGAUUGGAACAGCAAGUGGCUCUCCAGGGACAGUACAGACUGUAGGAUCAAAAAUGAUUUAUUUCUUUGUGUGUCAUGCAAACCAAUCACUUCUUGCCCGUGACAUCACAAUUAAACAUAAUUAACAUGAAGUGGCAUGGCUUGUUCUUUUUACAUGUUGGAAGUUACUGGUAUAGCCCUUCACACGUAUCUUUAUACAGGUGGAAAAUGGCAGAUUUGGGCACUGUUAAAUGCCUAAAUUGGAACGUAGUGAUUGCACAAUAAUAUGCUAUACAUG